UCUAGUGGCGCACGGGUGCGUAACGCGUGGGAAUCUGCCCUUGGGUUCGGAAUAACUUCUGGAAACGGAAGCUAAUACCGGAUGAUGACGUAAAUCCAAAGAUUUAUCGCCCAAGGAUGAGCCCGCGUAGGAUUAGCUAGUUGGUGGGGUAAAGGCCCACCAAGGCGACGAUCCUUAGCUGGUCUGAGAGGAUGAUCAGCCACACUGGGACUGAGACACGGCCCAGACUCCUACGGGAGGCAGCAGUAGGGAAUAUUGGACAAUGGGCGAAAGCCUGAUCCAGCAAUGCCGCGUGAGUGAUGAAGGCCUUAGGGUUGUAAAGCUCUUUUACCCGGGAUGAUAAUGACAGUACCGGGAGAAUAAGCUCCGGCUAACUCCGUGCCAGCAGCCGCGGUAAUACGGAGGGAGCUAGCGUUGUUCGGAAUUACUGGGCGUAAAGCGCACGUAGGCGG
rnacentral:rRNA from 1 species